rnacentral:rRNA from 1 species
UACGUAGGGUGCGAGCGUUAAUCGGAAUCACUGGGCGUAAAGCGCGCGCAGGCGGCUGUCUACGUCCGGGGUGAAAGCCCAGAGCUCAACUCUGGGAUUGCCUUGGAUACGGGAUGGCUUGAGUUCGGGAGAGGGAUGCGGAAUUCCAGGUGUAGCGGUGAAAUGACGUAGAUAUCUGGAGGAACACCGGUGGCGAAGGCGGCAUCCUGGGACCAGACUCGACGCUGAGGAGCGAAAGCCAGGGGAGCAAACGG